ACCACCAAGAGGCAGCAUGUAACUUGCCCAGCUGAGAAAGAUGCCUUAAGUUCAUCGAUGCUACCGUAUUUCUUGGUUCUGGCAGUGGGAGCAAAGAUCUCUUCAUCCUUCAUUCUGUAUCAUUUGUGAUAUUUCAAUACCACCCUCCCUCUCAGCCCUCCAGACAAGGUGAGGCCUGAAAUCCAAUCCCUGUCCUUGGAAUGGGGGGGGAGGCAUCUUUCAUAGGACAGCACGCCAGCUUACCACACCCAGUUUGGAUUCUCCAGUCUCCGAUUGGGAUCCCCAGGGCUUGACACACCAAGGCGUAGGCCUGAAUGGCUUGGCAGAGGAGCGUGCCGUUGUCCCUCACGCUGCACAAGUCAUACACACAGCUGUGCACAAAAGCCGUGGCAUCCACAACAGUGCCACACUCCCCCAGGGGACCGUCAGUCUUGUUGAGGAAGCCGCAGUAGUCCGAACCAAAGUAGAGAGCCUCAGUGGCCGCAUCGCACUGGGUACAGUUGUCCACGCAGCCAGAACCACACUUCCAGUCGGCAUGGUAGACACGCCAGCUCUCUCCCAGGUCCAGCACUGACAUGGCGGGCCUACCAUCGGGGCGGAGGAAGUCAUCCAGUGGGUUUUUAUUGUAGUUCCCGCAGAGCCCACAGGUGGAGUUUAUGUAAGAGCCUGGGAUGGAAAUGGAGGCGUAGUGCUGGCCGUCAAACGUCACUAAGAGCCCAAAAUCUGUUUCCACGGCAGUAGACAUGCCACUCUGGUAGAUUUUCACUGCCCCCAACUCUAAGGUGACGGGCAAAGAGGUCACCAGGUCAUUAACCUGCCAACAGUAACAGUAGAAGGCAGGUGAGCAGGGGACCACGCGUGCGCUCCAGCACAGGUUGGCAAGGGAUGGCAGGGCAACUGUUUAGGAGAGAAUAGUCACUCCAAGUUUCCAGGCUUCUCUGGUCUUACCCCUUACUGUGGCUAAUAUCUGGGUGCAGAGGGGGAAUUAUUUAGUAAAUGGUGAGCUCUGGGCCGGAAGGCACUGGCCAUUCGAGUCCAAUAACUCUGACAGUUCUAGUGCCAUCGUGCAUGCCACUGGGGACUGGCUGGCUGGCACCCUUCUUUUCUGGCUCUAGUCUGACUUCGAGCUUUUGCCCGAGAGGUACACCACUUUGAUUUCCCUUUUCUAUUUCUCUGAAGAUCCAUUAAGUCAGAAGUAUCACAUGAGCUUUCCAUGACCUUUGUACCCUUUGUACCCACUGGCCCUCUUGCCAGAUGUUAUAUGGUUGUACCAACUUGGAAUGUUGUUGAUCUUAGAAGUCAUCCUAGGGCCUCACUCUAAGCAUGAUGCACUGUGGUUUCCUGAUUUCUGAACUACACCACUCGAUCACUCAACAUCAACAGGUCUGAACAAUUGCUAAGUACCAUGCACUAUGCCAGGAUCCGAGAGGCACAGGGUUAAAGAAAUAAUAUUCACCCUUGUCCCUCAAGGCGCUCUCUGCCUAGUGAGGAAGAGGAACACAAACAGAUAUUUAUAGUAGUCAGUUUUAAAUAUGAAUCAAUGGGUGCGAUGGGGGAACAGAGAGAACACUUAACCCAGCCUUGGGGACUCAUCCAAGGUUUUUAGAGGCGGUUAAAUCUGACUGGAGUUUUUAGAGAUAAACUCAAGUUGCCAGAUAAAAACCCUGGGGUGGGUGUUGAGCAGAGAAUUUCAGGACAAAAGAAUAAAGGCAGGGGAUUAGAAGUAACUGUUUGGGGUGGGAAGAAUCAUGGGAUGCUGAGGAUGGCUGAGGAAAUCAGUAGCCAGAGACAAAGCUGAAGACACAGCCCUGGGGCUGCUCUGAUGUCAAGCAGUGUUCUAAGACUUUAGAGUUGCCAAGUGAAUUGAUCAAAAUUCCCUUCCUUGUGUAACCUAGCAUUUAACAAAGGAGACUAACCACUAGCAAAACAAAGGUGUACAGCAUCUAAUGAUGUGUGAAUGAGUAUUACAGAUCCCAAUGUUCAGAAGGAAGUUUUAUAGCUAUAAGUGAAUGGUCAGGGCGCAGGUCCAUGGCAAAGUGACAUCUGAGAGAGGAAGAAGCCUUGGAGUGAGCUGUCACAGGGAGAAACUAGCAGGCCCUCAGGUGGGGGUGCUCUGGGUGCUAUAGCCAUCAGGGUCUCCAUGUGGUUGAGCUGAGCAAGCAGGGGUGAGCAGUGGUAGCUGAUGUCAGGCAGGGUAGCAGCCAGAACAAGACAGGACUUUGGUUUUAGCUCUGAGCAAAAUGUUGAGCCAAGUGGGUUUUUAAAGCAAAGGAUCUACAGGAUCUGACUUCCACUUUGAAAGAACCACUCUGGCUCCCAUGUUGAGAACAGACCUUAACAUCUGGCAAGAGGGCCAGUGGGUACAAAGGGUACAAAACCAAGACAACACAAAUAGACCUGAAUUUCUACUCAGUAGGAAGCAAGCCCCUGAAGGGUAGUGAACAAAGAAAUAACACAGGAGGUUUGCGUUUCAGGAAGCUGGUCCUGGCUGGCAGGAAGUGCUUGAUGAACUAAGCCAAGAUGAGCAGCAAGGAGCCUAGACAGCUGCUGCCAGGGCCCAAGAGAAGACAGGAGUUAAAGCAAAAACCAGACACAAAGUGGGAGGCACAAGCUGCGCACCCCAUUCGAUUGUCCCUCACAGUCUCUCCUGUGGUUGAUUCAGAACUGGGGGAAGAAUCAAGAGUGAAUCUUAAUUAUCUAGAAAACACGAACAGGUGGUUUGAAAUGCUUCUAACAGAGCCAAGCAUUACCGUCACACUUACUGUGCCUAGCUUCUGAAGUCGUUCCUGUUUAAGACUUGGGGUGAAAUGAUUAGUCAGGGUCCCUGGUGGGCUUGACUUUAAAUGCACCUCAGCUUCUCAGGCUGACCUAGAUUCACGCUGGUUUCUGGCAUAUAGAAACAUAUGGACAGGAGCCUGACAUGGUCAGUACGUUUCCAGUUGGAAAUGAACUAGUAAACUGCCUAGGUAUUGCGCCCAAGGAUUACUGGAAUAAACACCUCAGGUAUUCUCUGAGACUGGAAGCAGACCCUCAACAGAAUUACCCUUAAUGGUCUACUCACACUGAUGUCGGCUCUGACCAGUCUGUACCUCAAAAUUCUGAUAACUUCUGCCCAGUUUAACCCAGUUUUAAAGCCACAAGUACAUUUUUAGGUAUUUGUCAUAGCGGCACCCCACUCCUGGUACCAGUGUUCUGUCUUAACCUGCUUGAGUUGCAAUGAAAUAUUAAUAAACCACAGAAUAUUCAAGAAGCCUGGAAAUUCAGGAUGGGAAUGACCACAGGUUAGUGCUGUAAGGUCCAGUUUUCUGGUUCGUAGAUAAGUAUUCAGGUGAUAGAAAGGGCAAAUUAGCUUUCUAUGGCCUUCUAUAGGGCACUAAUCAUUACCUAAUUAUUUUCCCCAUCCCAUUUUCUAAUACUACCUUCAUGACAAUUUAUUAAUGGAACAUCAAUAUAUGAAUGGGGAGAGCAUAAACCUUCAGACUGUGACAAUGGUAGAAGACUGAACAAGUCUUAGAAAUAGCUUCUCAGUUAGAAAUGGGAAACAGACAAAUCUCUUUGCUUUUCCUUCUCCUUGGGCUCUACGCACCUUUCCUUGUCAAUGGGUCUCUCCGAAGAUGUGUGCAGGGACAGGGCAGGAGGGAGAAGAGGAAUCACAAAGUAUUCGGCUUGGAAACGGUAAUAUGGAGCCAGCAUGUGCUAAGUGCCUACUGUGUGCCAACCUCUGUGCUGCGGGAUGUACGUGUUUGUUCUAGUCAAUGUGCGUGAAACCUAAAAGGUUCCUACAUGUUCUCUUCACUGUAAAUGAGGAUAGAGCUUGUGAAAGAACCAGACAGCUACUGAGGUCCAAAGCCGUGCUUCGUCACUGCUUCCCCUGCCUGGAUUAGCUCUGAGAGGAGGCAACAAGUCUAGGCUAGUGUGUAGGUGCCCGGUAGGUGACACAACUUCCCCACCAUUACAGAAAAGGAAAAUGAAGCAGUGGCUGCUGUGCUGGAAGAGACAGCACAGGUACUGGGCAGGUCCCACUCCAUAGUCAGAGCUCUCCAUACCUUGUGGGCUAGAUGGCCUGUUGGGCCCCUGGAAGUACCCUAAACCAUUCAGCUUCAUGGCGGGGAGAAACCAGAAAACCUCUCACCACUAGGAGACAUUUGCUAAGUAUGGACGCUCAGUUGUGUUGACUUUCUUUGGACUUCAUUAGCAUAUAUAACCCAAAUUGUUUAUCAUUUGAGAAUGGGUUCAGCAGGGAAAACCCCACUGAAAGAACGCUGCUUCUAAUCCAGCAAAUGGAGGCAGGGUUGGAGAAAGGGGACAUGUGGUUUUCAAUGGCCCAGCUUGGGUCAUUCCAGGCACAAUAUGGCUGGCUAGGAGGUCAGCUGCUUCCCAGUAGUCACCUGCUCCUUCCUGUUUCCCGGGCCUCUCCCUGGCUGUCCCCACAUUACCCUGGGUCAGGGCCCUGCACCCGUCUAGCCACUCUGCCCAGGGUGGCAGGUGUAUUCCAAGGCACUGGAAACCGUUUGGCAAAAGGAAAAGGACGCCGUUGUUAGCCUGCAGUUGGAGUCACAUAACCUUUUCUUGCCGAAGCAUUGGUAUUCACAUCCACAGCUCCCUGUCGCUACAGAAAAUUGAGGAAUCCGUGCCCUACGCCUGGACGGUGGAAUAGAGCCAUGCAAAAUUAGCAGAGCUGCUGGGCCUGAAAGAGACGACAGUGUCCUUUCUUUCAUUAAAAAAAGAAAAAGAAAAAAGAAGUAGAAAGUCUGAGCGUGAGCAAAAAAGGAUUUUAAUCAAAAUGGAAAAUAGGGACGAAGCAAGACCCCUCCUUUUCAACUAUUGGUAUCAAACACACCAGUUUACAACACAGGCAAGUUGGCAAAGCUGGUGAAAAAAAAUUAGCUGGAAAGGUAUCUAUCCAUGGGGAUAAAAAUGGCCCUCAAUGGCACCGUACAAAUUUACAUUGGAAAGAAUCCAAACUUCUGUACUAGACUCCUUCACUGAUAGAUGAACCUGUCCCUAGAGACACUGACCAAAUAGCAAGCAAAUCGGCAUUUCAACCAUGGUCAUAGCUCACUUUCCCAAUUAUAGAGCUGAUGGCCUGCACAGACUUGAGAAUGGCAGCAGCAGAAAAAGGAGAUUUGGUUCCCCGGUUUUGCCUUUUGUCAGAUAUGCGACCUCAAUGAAAACUACCGCACGUUUUUUUAUUAGUUCUGAUUGGCCCUCUAUUGAACAACCAAGCAUGGGAUUAAGGAUUGCAUGGGAUACAGCAAUCACCCCUUGUGGUCUCCAAGUUAAGACUGCUUGAAUAAAUACAUGGUUACACCAAAGUCCUCAUUAACAUUAUGAAAAUUGUGGCCUCCAUCAGUUGAGUAAUUGCCAGUAGCUCCUAGCAUUCCCUCUUUAGUCAAUGCCCCUGUAGCAGGAGUCAUUUACAUAUGCUAAACAGGCCAGCAGAGAUUUGUGCUCUUCUCUGUCAGUGUGGGCAGAAGAGGCGGGUUUCUGCAGAGGAGCAUUUGGGUAAAACUUUUCUAGGAUCUUUUCAUACAGGACUCAUUAAGGAAGUCACCAAAGCUGCUUUAGGGUGGUGCCUGUGUAGACAUCAAUCAAUGUGGAAGUUUCUCUGUGAAUGAAACAAGAGCUCUCGUGCAAACAGAAUCAGGGCGCUGAGCAGGUCAAGGAUGACUCCAUGGCUAUACACUGUCCAAGCCUGGACAUGAUCAUAUGACUUCAAUUAUUGCAAGCCAAGUCUAUAAGGAACUAAGUUUGUCUAUCUGUUACGGUAACUUCUGAGAGACAUAUACCUGUAUGUAUGUGUACACAUGUACAUGUGAAAAUAUGUGCACAUCAGUAAGGGAACUAGGAGUGUGCAUGUGCUUGUUUUCUUUUUAAAGAUAUGGUCUUGCUAUGAGGCUUUUGCACAAAUAAACUUUGGCUUACUAAAACAUCUUCCAAGACAAGAAGCGCAUCUACCUGUUUGGCACUAUAGAAAGGUAAACAACAAAACAGUAAACAGAGGGAUGCUUUCCCCAGGAUGAAGUAUCUCUGGAUUCUCCGUCUCCCCAUGAUGUAUGGAGAGGGUCUUACCUUGACUUUUCCAUAGCUUCCUUUAGGGAUGAGAAUCUUGUAGCCAUUGACCUCAACUGAGAGCUCCUUCACCCACGAGACAGCAGAACCCCCGCGGUGCUCGUUCUUGGCCUCCACACUGAAGAAGGGGAGGCUGGAGGUUUGCAGACACUGUCGGGCCAAUAGGAGCUCCUGAUUUACCACUGCAGGGACUUGGCGACACUCCAAGUUCACCCACUCCUGUGGAUCUACGGCCUGCAGAUGGCAGGAGAAGAGUAAAGAUGAGGAUGGAAUCUUAAAGAGGAAGCAACAACAACAGCAAAAAUAACGUGAGGACAGGAGGGUUCCCUUCUGUCCACGUGGCUGAGAAAUAACUUAGGAUCCUGGUGCACUUUGGAGAUAGUCCAAACUAGUAGCUGUAUGCACCCUACAGGCAAGGGUUUGGAAGUAUACCACACGCCGUGUUC